rnacentral:rRNA from 1 species
UCAGUCGACUCCUACGGGGAGGCAGCAGUGGGGGAAUAUUGCACAAUGGGCGCAAGCCUGAUGCAGCCAUGCCGCGUGUAUGAAGAAGGCCUUCGGGUUGUAAAGUACUUUCAGCAGUGAGGAAGGUGGAUAUGUUAAUAGCAUAUUCAUUUGACGUUAGCUGCAGAAGAAGCACCGGCUAACUCCGUGCCAGCAGCCGCGGUAAUACGGAGGGUGCGAGCGUUAAUCGGAAUUACUGGGCGUAAAGCGCAUGCAGGUGGUUUGUUAAGUCAGAUGUGAAAGACCCGGGGCUCAACCUCGGAAUUGCAUUUGAAACUGGCAAACUAGAGUACUGUAGAGGGGGGUAGGAAUUUCAGGUGUAGCGGUGAAAUGCGUAGAGAUCUGAAGGAAUACCGGUGGCGAAGGCGGCCCCCUGGACAGAUACUGACACUCAGAUGCGAAAGCGUGGGGAGCAAACAGGAUUAGAUACCCUGGUAG